rnacentral:rRNA from 1 species
CCUACGGGAGGCAGCAGUGGGGAAUUUUGGACAAUGGACGCAAGUCUGAUCCAGCCAUGCCGCGUGCGGGAAGAAGGCCUUCGGGUUGUAAACCGCUUUUGUCAGGGAAGAAACGAGUUUCUCUAAUACAGAGACUUAAUGACGGUACCUGAAGAAUAAGCACCGGCUAACUACGUGCCAGCAGCCGCGGUAAUACGUAGGGUGCAAGCGUUAAUCGGAAUUACUGGGCGUAAAGCGUGCGCAGGCGGUUAUGCAAGACAGAUGUGAAAUCCCCGGGCUCAACCUGGGAACUGCAUUUGUGACUGCAUGGCUAGAGUACGGUAGAGGGGGAUGGAAUUCCGCGUGUAGCAGUGAAAUGCGUAGAUAUGCGGAGGAACACCGAUGGCGAAGGCAAUCCCCUGGACCUGUACUGACGCUCAUGCACGAAAGCGUGGGGAGCAAACAGGAUUAGAUACCCUGGUAGUCCACGCCCUAAACGAUGUCAACUGGUUGUUGGGAGGGUUUCUUNUCAGUAACGAAGCUAACGCGUGAAGUUGACCGCCUGGGGAGUACGGCCGCAAGGUUGAAACUUAAGGAAUUGACGG